CGUUUACCACGGUAUGAUUCAUGACUGGGGUGAAGUCGUAACAAGGUAACCGUAGGGGAACCUGCGGUUGGAUCACCUCCUUACCUAAAAUGAAGC
rnacentral:rRNA from 1 species